rnacentral:rRNA from 1 species
AACGCGAAGAACCUUACCUACCCUUGACAUGGUCGGAAUCCUGCUGAGAGGCGGGAGUGCUCGAAAGAGAACCGGCGCACAGGUGCUGCAUGGCUGUCGUCAGCUCGUGUCGUGAGAUGUUGGGUUAAGUCCCGCAACGAGCGCAACCCUUGUCAUUAGUUGCUACGAAAGGGCACUCUAAUGAGACUGCCGGUGACAAACCGGAGGAAGGUGGGGAUGACGUCAAGUCCUCAUGGCCCUUAUGGGUAGGGCUUCACACGUCAUACAAUGGUACAUACAGAGGGUUGCCAACCCGCGAGGGGGAGCUAAUCCCAGAAAGUGUAUCGUAGUCCGGAUUGGAGUCUGCAACUCGACUCCAUGAAGUUGGAAUCGCUAGUAAUCGCGGAUCAGCAUGUCGCGGUGAAUACGUUCCCGGGCCUUGUACACACCGCAUAC